rnacentral:rRNA from 1 species
UACGGAAGGCAGCAGUGGGGAAUAUUGCACAAUGGGCGCAAGCCUGAUGCAGCCAUGCCGCGUGUAUGAAGAAGGCCUUCGGGUUGUAAAGUACUUUCAGUCGUGAGGAAGGUGUUAAGGUUAAUAACCUUAGCAAUUGACGUUAGCGACAGAAGAAGCACCGGCUAACUCCGUGCCAGCAGCCGCGGUAAUACGGAGGGUGCGAGCGUUAAUCGGAAUUACUGGGCGUAAAGGGCACGCAGGCGGUUAAUUAAGUUGGAUGUGAAAUCCCCGGGCUUAACCUGGGAAUGGCAUUCAAGACUGGUUAGCUAGAGUCUUGUAGAGGGGGUAGAAUUCCAUGUGUAGCGGUGAAAUGCGUAGAGAUGUGGAGGAAUACCGGUGGCGAAGGCGGCCCCUGGGACAAAGGACUGACGCUCAUGUGCGAAAGCGUGGGGAGCGAAACAGGAUUAGAUACC